GGUUUCGUGGCCGAGUGGCUAGGCAGAGGUCUGCAAAACCUUCUACACCAGUUCGAAUCUGGUCGAAACCU
rnacentral:tRNA from 2 species